rnacentral:snRNA from 1 species
AGAAUUUGUCUAGCAGGUUUUCUGGUCUUUACCAGAAAACCCUU